AUAUGGUCAAGUGAAGAAGCGCAUACGGUGGAUGCCUUGGCAGUCAGAGGCGAUGAAAGACGUGGUAGCCUGCGAAAAGCUUUGGGGAGUCGGCAAACAGACUGUGAUCCAGAGAUCUCUGAAUGGGGGAACCCACCCGGCAUAAGCCGGGUAUCUUGUACUGAAUCCAUAGGUGCAAGAGGCGAACCAGGGGAACUGAAACAUCUAAGUACCCUGAGGAAAAGAAAUCAACCGAGAUUCCCUAAGUAGUGGCGAGCGAACGGGGACUAGCCCUUAAGUUGAUUUGAGUGUAGUGGAAGGCUCUGGAAAGUGCCGCCGUAGUGGGUGAUAGCCCCGUACACGAAACGCUCUUAUCAAUGAAAUCGAGUAGGACGGGGCACGAGAAACCUUGUCUGAACAUGGGGGGACCAUCCUCCAAGGCUAAAUACUACUGACUGACCGAUAGUGAACCAGUACCGUGAGGGAAAGGCGAAAAGAACCCCGGAGAGGGGAGUGAAAUAGAACCUGAAACCGUAUGCGUACAAGCAGUGGGAGCCUACUUUGUUGGGUGACUGCGUACCUUUUGUAUAAUGGGUCAGCGACUUAUAUUCAGUGGCGAGCUUAACCGAAUAGGGGAGGCGUAGCGAAAGCGAGUCUUAAUAGGGCGCUUUAGUCGCUGGGUAUAGACCCGAAACCGGGCGAUCUAUCCAUGGGCAGGUUGAAGGUUAGGUAACACUGACUGGAGGACCGAACCGACUACCGUUGAAAAGUUAGCGGAUGACCUGUGGAUCGGAGUGAAAGGCUAAUCAAGCUCGGAGAUAGCUGGUUCUCCUCGAAAGCUAUUUAGGUAGCGCCUCGUGUAUCACUGCUGGGGGUAGAGCACUGUUUCGGCUAGGGGGUCAUCCCGACUUACCAAACCGAUGCAAACUCCGAAUACCAGCAAGUGUCAGCACGGGAGACACACGGCGGGUGCUAACGUCCGUCGUGAAAAGGGAAACAACCCAGACCGUCAGCUAAGGUCCCAAAGUUAUGGUUAAGUGGGAAACGAUGUGGGAAGGCUUAGACAGCUAGGAGGUUGGCUUAGAAGCAGCCAUCCUUUAAAGAAAGCGUAAUAGCUCACUAGUCGAGUCGGCCUGCGCGGAAGAUGUAACGGGGCUCAAACCAUACACCGAAGCUACGGGUUCAUCCUUUGGAUGAGCGGUAGAGGAGCGUUCUGUAAGCCUGUGAAGGUGAGUUGAGAAGCUUGCUGGAGGUAUCAGAAGUGCGAAUGCUGACAUGAGUAACGACAAUG
rnacentral:rRNA from 1 species